GCGGGCUUCCCUGGUGGCGCAGUGGUUGAGAGUCCGCCUGCCGAUGCAGGGGACACAGGUUCGUGCCCCAGUCCGGGAAGAUCCCACAUGCCGCGGAGCGGCUGGGUCCGUGAGCCAUGGCCGCUGAGCCUGCGCGUCUGGAGCCUGUGCUCCGCAACGGGAGAGGCCACAACAGUCAGAGGCCCACGUACCGCAAAAAAAGAAGAAUAUCAGGGAAUCUGAGGCGUGAGCUGCGUGGCAGUCAGGAGCAGUAGGAGAUGGUGUGGAGAUGCAGGCCAGCCUUGCUCUCCCAGGUCUCCCUUGCCUGGGGAGUUUAAUUAGACUGCAGUAGGGACCAGGAUUCAUUUCCAUAGACCAAGAUAACCCCUGUCAAGCCACUGGCUUGUUUCUGCAGCAAUCAUGGGGCAGACCCAGUGGUCAUGUCCUCUGUGGGAAGCUAGGGAGACUUGCUCCUUAGGAAUCAGGCCCCACAGCCAUCUCUAGAUGACGAGGAAACGUAAGGGCACUGCCCUUCUGGUGUCCCUACCCCCAUACAGGCUCUCAGGUCAGCCAGGUGGGAAGACCUGGGGAAUGACCCUUUGUUGAUAUAGGCUGCUUCUCUCAUCCCAGCCUGGUCUAUUAGGUCUAGCUGCCUUUGGUCUUGAAAGAACCAGGUGAGAGAACGUGGGAUCCAAAGACAUCACAUCAACCCAUAGUGAGAGGCUCCAAAGUCACCCCUAGGCAUGGAGGAUGAAGCUGGACCAUGCCAAACCGAAAUCAGGCUGAUGGGUUACUGAUGGCUCCAGAAGGAGGGCUCCAUGAGGAGAGGGAGGGAAGAAGGAGCUGGAACUUGGCAGCCCCCGCGACCUGCAGGAGAGGACGCUGAGGCUCAGUGAAGCCCUCGAUCGCUGAGAGUCAUACAACAGAAGGGUUGCCGAGAGAUGACCUCCAAGGUCCCUCCAGCUGUGCCAUUUUGGACUUGCAGUUGUCUCCCUUGUCACUGCUCUCAGGCACGGUCCCCUUCUCUUUCAAGCCGCUGAAGCCAGCACUCAGGAAAGAGGAGCCAGGGAUGGUGAACAGAAUGUACGUUACCAUGAAACAGACACUGUGCCAAUACACCACCUCAGAACACUCACGAUGACCCUGUGAGGAAGGCUCCACCCUCUCCAUCUCACAGAUGAAGAGACGGAUGGCUGCAGAGGUCACCCAGCCACCAGGUGGCAGGAGACAAGUACCUUGGUGUAAGGUAACCACUAACUGAAAUGGGGACACAGGACGUGGAGCAGAUUCGGGAGACUUGUUCAGUUGAACUUGAGUUCUCUGUGGUCUGCCAAGGAAGGGAGCUGUAAAUCCAGGUCUGGUCCUCAGGUGAAGAGCAGAAGAGGCCAGUCAGGUCGAGAAGAGAAAACCAGAACACAGCUGGGGCAAAGACGCAGCUGGGAGGCUGCCCGUGUACCCAGCACCUAAGCACGGGGGAGAGGCCGUGUGUACCAGAGAUCAGGAUUUUUGGAUCCCUUGUGUGAAGAUGAAGAGACAGAACUGGCUUUUUUUUUUUCCCCCUGCCUGUCAGAUGCCCUGAUUCAAGCCCUGGACCCAGGCUGUUAGACAUACUCGUCUUUUUAUCAAGGACCUCAUCAUCUCGUACAUGUUAGGAUGGACCUCUACACCUAGGGCCGGAACAAAAUUUGGCUCAAAAAUAGGUCAGGUGAUAAGACCAGAGAGCAUUUGAAUUGAAAAGAGACCCGUGGUCCUGGUCCUGCAUUUCCUUCCAUCUAAUGGUGCCUAUAAUCGAAAACUCCAUUUUCCUUGAGAAACUGGGAAGUGGAAACUAAGGGAAUGUUCCCAGGAUUGGUAUAUAAUUUGAAGCUCUCAGCAAGGCUGAAAAUACCCAUCGAUAUAUUCUGAAGUGUAAUUUCCACUCCCUUACCAGCCAAAAUAAUUGAAGAGGAAGAAAAAGCUGUUAAUGCAGGAGGCGUGUGACAUCAGAUCCACUUUGCCUGGAAAUUUACCAUUUCAAAGCAAUUGAGGGUUUCUACAGCCAAUGUUUAUAGUCAUACGUGUCCCCUCUCACUGGAGUCACCCUCUGAAGCGAUCAAAAGGCCCAUCAGUCUGGCUUGGACACUGAAAUUGUACACAGUGUCUGGAGCUGAUGUGAAAGCAGAGAGAAUUUUAAAAAUUAUGCUGCCGUUUUGUCAGCACAUAAAUCUUGGGGUGUUUCAUCCUGGUAGGUGGUAGAAACAGUUGGGGCUGCCAGUGCUCAUGGGACCAGUGGUGGCAGGGCUCCGUGGUGGCCUGGCCAGGCACAACUUCUGCUCUCCCUUGGCAUCCCUGUCCCCGUGUCCCUGCACAGACUGUCCUCUUCCUCUAGUCUAGGUUGGCAUUUCUUUCUCUUGCCCAAAGAUGCCUGCCUCUACCUGCAUCCCAGUGACAGUGAGUCCAAGGGCCGCGGGUUCUUCAGCAGAGCGGGGGGUCGUGCCACCUCUCACAGCCUCUGCUGGACUCAGCAGGAGAGACAGACAAUAGACUUUACGGACGUCUGUCUUCUGUCUUCUGCCAGUGCCAGUGUCUGUGUGUGUGUGUGUGUGUGUGUGUGUGUGUGCACGCACAUGCUAUUUUUCAGUUGGAAUUGGACUUCAGGUUUUUCCUGGAAUUACUGAUUUCUUUCCCUAUAUUUGUGUCCAGUGGAGGAAAUUUCUAAAUCCGUGUCCAAGCAUUUGUCUUUCCUUCCAUUUCUGAAUCACAUACCUUUACAAAGGCCACUACCUAAAGACAGAGCAUUUAGUAUGUUCUCGGGCAACUGGGAUGACUAGGAGGUAGGGAACCUGGGUUUUAGUCCUAGGUGUACCAUAGGCUAGCUUGGUGACCCCUUACUUAUGUUUCAGAUAAGAUCUUUGGUACAAAAGAAUUUGGAAGGUCCUUUCUAGUGCUGGUAUUUUAGGAUUCUGUUUACUUAUUUUAAUUUUUUAAACCAUUCCCUGCCCCAGCAAGAAUUAUUGGCAAUAAACUGAGAUACAAUUUUCUUUAUUAUCAUUGGGUCCCCCGGCCCAUAUUACAUACAUACAUAUACACCCAGACAAUUUAAAAUGUUCCACUGCAUGAAGAAUCUGAAAAUUUCCAGAAUACAGCAAACUAAAAAGGAGAAAUUGGAAGAAUGUUCAAGAAAUUGUUACAUCCAGGGACACCUCUGAGGAGGGGAACCCAAGGUGAACGGGAGUGGGAGAUUUCACUGCAUAUAUUCUUUUGUACCUUUUGAAUUUUUUGCCACAUGCAUUUAUUACCUCUUCAAUUAAAAACUUUUUUAAGCAAGAGUUUUCCUUUCUCCUUCGUCGACCACAGGCCCCUCUGCAGCUUAGUUCUUAGCAGGGGAGGAGCCCAUGAUGGGGCUGGCAUCAUUCGCUGGAAGCCACCCCUCAGCCCAAGCCCUCUGGCUGGGUUAGCCAACAUCCCUGCUCCCCUGGCUGCCCUGUGUGCCUGGAGGGGGUCUGUGGGUGCACUCUACUGCUGGCUGCCCUUGCUGGGGAGUGCUACCGCUCCUACUGUUGGUGGCACUCCAGCUGGACUGUCAAGCUGGUACAGGGCCUCUAUUCAAGGUGCUCCAUUAAGGGGCUGGCCUUCAUGGCCCCAGCAGCCAGACAGGCAAAGGACCUAAGAGUUCAGCAUAGGCGGAAGUGCAUCCAGCCUUAAAUCCUCCAGAUCUCGCCAUUCCCUUUCAAAGACAGACUGCCUUUUUUUC